rnacentral:rRNA from 1 species
CUUAGUGGCGGACGGGUGAGUAACGCGUGGGCAACCUGCCCCGUGCCGGGGGAUACCGCCUGGAAACAGGCGCUAAUACCGCAUAAGCGCAUACAGCCGCAUGGCAGUAUGCGGAAAGCUCCGGCGGCACGGGAUGGGCCCGCGCCCGAUUAGCCUGUUGGCGGGGUAACGGCCCACCAAAGCGACGAUCGGUAGCCGGCCUGAGAGGGCGGACGGCCACAUUGGGACUGAGACACGGCCCAAACUCCUACGGGAGGCAGCAG